rnacentral:rRNA from 1 species
UUCAAGUUUUUAAGAGCAAACGGUGAAUGCCUUGGCAUCUGGAGCCGAAGAAGGACGUCGUAAUCUGCGAUAAGCCUCGGGGAGCUGAUAAACGAGCUGUGAUCCGAGGAUUUCCGAAUGGGGAAACCCCGUCAGGCCCUUUGUGGUGACCUGGUGACUCCCGCCUGAAUAUAUAGGGCGGGUAGAGGGAACGUGGGGAAGUGAAACAUCUCAGUACCCACAGGAAGAGAAAACAACAGUGAUUCCGUUAGUAGUGGCGAGCGAACGCGGAAGAGGCUAAACCGAGUCAUGUGUGAUACCCGGCAGGGGUUGCAUGGUCGGGGUUGUGGGACUUUUCGUCGUGUUCUGCCGAGCACGGAACGUUACAGCGCAUCAUAGACGAACAGGUUUGAAUGCCUGGCCAGAGCGGGUGCGAGCCCCGUAGUCGAAAUGGUGUUAUGGCGUGGAGAGUAUCCCAAGUAGCACGGGGCCCGAGAAAUCCCGUGUGAAUCUGUCAGGACCACCUGAUAAGCCUAAAUACUCCCAGAUGACCGAUAGCGGACAAGUACCGUGAGGGAAAGGUGAAAAGUACCCCGGGAGGGGAGUGAAAUAGUACCUGAAACCGUUUGCUUACAAACCGUCGGAGCCUCCUUGUUGGGGUGACGGCGUGCCUUUUGAAGAAUGAGCCUGCGAGUUAGUGCUCUGUGGCGAGGUUAACCCGUGUGGGGCAGCCGUAGCGAAAGCGAGUCCGAAUAGGGCGUUGUGAGUCGCAGGGUCUAGACCCGAAGCGAAGUGAUCUAUCCAUGGCCAGGUUGAAGCGACGGUAAGACGUCGUGGAGGACCGAACCCACUUCAGUUGAAAAUGGAGGGGAUGAGCUGUGGAUAGGGGUGAAAGGCCAAUCAAACUUCGUGAUAGCUGGUUCUCUCCGAAAUGCAUUUAGGUGCAGCGUUGCGUGUUUCUUGCCGGAGGUAGAGCUACUGGAUGGCCGAUGGGGCCCAAAAGCUUACUGACGUCAGCCAAACUCCGAAUGCCGGUAAGUGAGAGUGCANNNNNNNNNNNNNNNNNNNNNNNNNNNNNNNNNNNNNNNNNNNNNNNNNNNNNNNNNNNNNNNNNNNNNNNNNNNNNNNNNNNNNNNNNNNNNGUGCAGCAGUGAGACUGUGGGGGAUAAGCUUCAUAGUCGAGAGGGAAACAACCCAGACCACCAACUAAGGUCCCUGAGCGCGUGCUAAGUGGGAAAGGAUGUGGAGUUGCACAGACAACCAGGAGGUUGGCUUAGAAGCAGCCACCCUUGAAAGAGUGCGUAAUAGCUCACUGGUCAAGUGAUUCCGCGCCGACAAUGUAACGGGGCUCAAGCACGCCACCGAAGUUGUGGCAUUGACAUUAGUGGUAGGCCUUCGUGGUCCAGCCGUGUUGAUGGGUAGGAGAGCGUCGUGUGGCGAGUGAAGCGGCGGUGUGAACCAGCCGUGGACGCCACACGAGUGAGAAUGCAGGCAUGAGUAGCGAAAGACGGGUGAGAAACCCGUCCUCCGGAAGACCAAGGGUUCCAGGGUCAAGCUAAUCUUCCCUGGGUAAGUCGGGACCUAAGGCGAGGCCGACAGGCGUAGUCGAUGGACAACGGGUUGAUAUUCCCGUACCGGCGAAGAACCGCCCACGACAAUCUAGUAGUGCUAAGUAUCUGAAUCCCUGUGAUGGAUCCCUUCGGGGUGAAGCGUUGGGCCUAGCGUACGACCCCGUGCUGGUGCGUUUAGCGUAUUAACAGGUGUGACGCAGGAAGGUAGCCGAGCCGGGCGAUGGUUGUCCCGGUCUAAGGAUGUAGGGCGAACGAUAGGUAAAUCCGUCGUUCAUGUUGCCUGAGAUCUGAUGGGUAGACGCAAGUCGAAAUCGGUGAUCCUCUGCUGCCAAGAAAAGCAUCGACGCGAGGUUCUAGCUGCCCGUACCCCAAACCGACUCAGGUGGUCAGGUAGAGAAUACUAAGGAGAUCGAGAGAAUCGUGGUUAAGGAACUCGGCAAAAUGCCCCCGUAACUUCGGGAGAAGGGGGGCCUGAGGCGUGAACGGACUUGCUCCGGGAGCGUUCGAUGGCCGCAGAGACCAGUGGGAAGCGACUGUUUACUAAAAACACAGGUCCGUGCUAAGUCGCAAGACGAUGUAUACGGACUGACGCCUGCCCGGUGCUGGAAGGUUAAGAGGAACGGUUAGCCUUAUGGCGAAGCUGAGAAUUUAAGCCCCAGUAAACGGCGGUGGUAACUAUAACCAUCCUAAGGUAGCGAAAUUCCUUGUCGGGUAAGUUCCGACCUGCACGAAUGGCGUAACGACUUCCCAGCUGUCUCAACCGCGAACUCGGCGAAAUUGCAUUACGAGUAAAGAUGCUCGUUACGCGCAGCAGGACGGAAAGACCCCGUGACCUUUACUAUAGUUUGGUAUUGGUGUUCGGUGUGGCUUGUGUAGGAUAGGUGGGAGACUGUGAAGCGGGCACGCUAGUGUUCGUGGAGUCAUUGUUGAAAUACCACUCUGGUCACUCUGGAUAUCUAACUUCGGACCCUAAUCGGGUUCAGGGACAGUGCCUGAUGGGUAGUUUAACUGGGGCGGUUGCCUCCCAAAAAGUAACGGAGGCGCCCAAAGGUUCCCUCAACCUGGUUGGCAAUCAGGUGGCGAGUGUAAGUGCACAAGGGAGCUUGACUGUGAGACUGACAAGUCGAGCAGGGACGAAAGUCGGGACUAGUGAUCCGGCAGUGGCUUGUGGAAGCGCUGUCGCUCAACGGAUAAAAGGUACCUCGGGGAUAACAGGCUGAUCUUGCCCAAGAGUCCAUAUCGACGGCAUGGUUUGGCACCUCGAUGUCGGCUCGUCGCAUCCUGGGGCUGGAGUAGGUCCCAAGGGUUGGGCUGUUCGCCCAUUAAAGCGGUACGCGAGCUGGGUUUAGAACGUCGUGAGACAGUUCGGUCCCUAUCCGCUGCGCGCGCAGGAAAUUUGAGAAGAUCUAUCCCUAGUACGAGAGGACCGGGAUGGACGAACCUCUGGUGUGUCAGUUGUUCCGCCAGGAGCACCGCUGAUUAGCUACGUUCGGAACGGAUAACCGCUGAAAGCAUCUAAGCGGGAAGCCGGCUUCGAGAUGAGAUUUCCAUCCCUUCGGGGGAGAGGCUCCCAGCCAGACGACUGGGUUGAUAGGCCGGAUGUGGAAGACAGGACUAAAGACUGUCGGAGCUGACCGGUACUAAUAAGCCGAUAACUUGAUAA